GGAGUGAAGAAAGUGGUUAACGCUGUUUCUGUCAUUGUUGGCCCUAAGGAAGGAGACACUCCGGACAGAGCAAAAUACAGCCAAGGAAUUAAGUUCUUCGAGCCAGAGAUAAAAGGUGAUUCACCAGAAAAGGUAGAGUACAUAGGAAUGAGAAAUUUGAUCAAGGCUCUGAAGAACACAGCCUUGGACUUCGAAGGGGAAAGC